rnacentral:rRNA from 1 species
GACGAACGCUGGCGGCGUGCCUAAUACAUGCAAGUCGAGCGGAAUGAUGAAGAAGCUUGCUUCUUCUGAUUUUAGCGGCGGACGGGUGAGUAACACGUGGGCAACCUACCUUGUAGAUUGGGAUAACUCCGGGAAACCGGGGCUAAUACCGAAUAAUCCAUUUUGCUUCAUGGCGAGAUGUUAAAAGGCGGCUUCGGCUGUCUCUACGAGAUGGGCCCGCGGCGCAUUAGCUAGUUGGUAGGGUAAUGGCCUACCAAGGCGACGAUGCGUAGCCGACCUGAGAGGGUGAUCGGCCACACUGGGACUGAGACACGGCCCAGACUCCUACGGGAGGCAGCAGUAGGGAAUCUUCCACAAUGGACGAAAGUCUGAUGGAGCAACGCCGCGUGAGUGAAGAAGGUUUUCGGAUCGUAAAACUCUGUUGUAAGGGAAGAACACGUACGAGAGUAACUGCUCGUACCUUGACGGUACCUUAUUAGAAAGCCACGGCUAACUACGUG